AAUAUUUGCAAUCAAACCAGGGCCUUUAAGCAUAAAAGCAUGGCUUUAAUUAGAAAAGGCAGCACCAGCAGGCUAACGUGUCUGAAUGAUCUUAAUUAUUACUUAACCUUUCGGUUGAGGAGCCAUGAAAUGGAAACAAUAGUAUUCGCUAAAGUAAGGGAUAUUAACUCACCACCUUGGUUUUUUGUUUUUUCCUUUAGUUUCUCCAAUUUGAUUUCUUCAAGUGUUUUUAUUCCAAAAUUUAAGUUCUCCUCUGAAAACAGAAAAUGGUUAAUGAAGCUGAGGCUUAAAGGCACAUCUUGAAGAGCACACAUCCUCAAGCUGCUUACAGCUCAGAACCCUUCCAAAGUCUUCCAAAUCAACCCUCUCAACACUCCCCACAAGU